GCGUCGACCGGAUCGAGGGCGCGGGUGACGACCAGGUAGUCGCGCAGCACGAUCGCGUGGCGGUUGUC
rnacentral:sRNA from 1 species